GACGAACGCUGGCGGCGUGCUUAACACAUGCAAGUCGAGCGGUAAGGCCCUUUCGGGGGUACACGAGCGGCGAACGGGUGAGUAACACGUGGGUGACCUGCCCUCAGCUCUGGGAUAAGCCUGGGAAACUGGGUCUAAUACCGGAUAUGACUCCAUGACGCAUGUUGUGGGGUGGAAAGCCUUGUGCGGCUGAGGAUGGGCCCGCGGCCUAUCAGCUUGUUGGUGGGGUGANGGCCUACCAAGGCGACGACGGGUAGCCGGCCUGGGAGGGCGACCGGCCACACUGGGACUGAGACACGGCCCAGACUCCUACGGGAGGCAGCAGUGGGGAAUCUUGCGCAAUGGGCGAAAGCCUGACGCAGCGACGCCGCGUGAGGGAUGACGGCCU
rnacentral:rRNA from 1 species